GUGCUCACCUCAGCAGCACACAUACUAAAAUUGGAAUACACAGAGAAGAUUAGCAUGGCCUCUGUGCAAGGAUGACAUGCUCAUUUGUGAAGUGUUUCAUAUUUGA